CCGGCCCCCGCGGCCAGCAGCGCCGCGCCCCCCGCCGCGCCGCCCACGGCGACCCAUAGCCACGGACCUGCGGGGUGGAGACCCUCGCGGAGGGUGGCCAAGCUCCGGGGGGCUUCUCCCACCGCCCCCCGCACUCCCACAGGCACGAAGUCAGUCCUCAUGCCCCGGGGAGCUCACUGUCUGGCCUUGGGAGAAGGGAGACAACCCAUGCAAUAAGGCCACUCCCAGUGCCAGGGCGACCCGAGUCCCGAUUUAUAUCGCACUUCAGCCCAUGGGGAUAUAAACCCGUGACCACACUUAGCCCCCUGGCGACAAGUCAACUCUCCCCAUCCCCCAAAAAAUGAGGACCGGCAGGACCAGGUCAGGUUCCCCCGACCCCAGAGAGAACCCAGCCCCAGGAGCUUCAGGAAGUGAGAGAAGGCGAUCUUGACCCCUCUCUCCCUCCAACAUCCAAUGACUUUGGUCCCUCCCCAAUCUUCCCCACAGUGGAUUGUGAAUUGGGUCAAGUUUCCACCACGCAGAAUCCAGCCCAAGUUUUAAAGUCCUUUCCUGCAGCAGUGACAGCCCCGGAGGGUCCCUCCCCUUGAAUUCAGUCCCCCUGCCACCUCCAUCUCCCACCCCUCAAAGUGCGAUCAACAGCCCCACCCGCUAAGGCACCUUUGACUUCUACUCUGUCCCACUUCCGUCUAGUCUACCGGGACCGAGAGGGAGGCAGGCGGGGCCGGCCGCCCCAAGACCCAGGUCACGCCCCCUCUCAGAUACCUCGCCCCGCCUCUCCCCAGCUGCCACUUACCGGCCACGCGCACCGUGAUGCGCCGCGCGUGGCGCCCGUGCGCGUUGGUGGCUGCGCACUCGUAC
rnacentral:lncRNA from 10 species